UUUGGAAGUAAAAGUCGUAACAAGGUCUCCGUUGGUGAACCAGCGGAGGGAUCAUUACCGAGUUUACAACUCCCAAACCCCUGUGAACAUACCUAUACGUUGCCUCGGCGGAUCAGCCCGCGCCCCGUAAAACGGGACGGCCCGCCCGAGGACCCCUAAACUCUGUUUUUAGUGGAACUUCUGAGUAAAACAAACAAAUAAAUCAAAACUUUCAACAACGGAUCUCUUGGUUCUGGCAUCGAUGAAGAACGCAGCAAAAUGCGAUAAGUAAUGUGAAUUGCAGAAUUCAGUGAAUCAUCGAAUCUUUGAACGCACAUUGCGCCCGCCAGUAUUCUGGCGGGCAUGCCUGUUCGAGCGUCAUUUCAACCCUCAAGCUCAGCUUGGUGUUGGGACUCGCGGUAACCCGCGUUCCCCAAAUCGAUUGGCGGUCACGUCGAGCUUCCAUAGCGUAGUAAUCAUACACCUCGUUACUGGUAAUCGUCGCGGCCACGCCGUAAAACCCCAACUUC
rnacentral:sRNA from 2 species